GAUGAAGAACGUAGCGAAAUGCGAUACUUGGUGUGAAUUGCAGAAUCCCGUGAACCAUCGAGUCUUUGAACGCAAGUUGCGCCCGAAGCCAUUAGGCCGAGGGCAAGCCUGCCUGGGCGUCACACGUCGUUGCCCCCCCAUCUACUCCUUCGGGAUUGCGGGGGGCGGAUGAUGGCCUCUCGUGCGCCUCGUCGCGCGGUUGGCCUAAAUGCCAAGUCCUCGGCGACGCACGCCACGACAAUCGGUGGUUGCGAAACUUCGGUUGCCUGUCGUGUGCGGUCGUCGCGCAUCGAGGGCUCGAAAAAAUUGCCGGGCUUCGGCUCGACUUUCAACGCGACCCCAGGUCAGGCGGGGUUACCCGCUGAAUUUAAGCAUAUCAAUAAGCGGAGGA
rnacentral:misc_RNA from 1 species